GGCCCAGUGGGGUAGUGGUAAAACACGCCGUCGUAGCUUGAAGGCCGUUAUUACAUCCUUACGACGGAGGUCCUUGUUCGAAUCCAGGCUGGGCCA